rnacentral:rRNA from 1 species
AUGACUUCUUUUGUUCUCAAGAUAUUUGCUUCACCUUUUUUUCCAUACGACCCCCAACAAGGGACAGGGUUCUCAUUUGUCGCACUGUGUAGUAAUUGCUUACAGUUCCAAAUUGCUUAUUUUUACACGAGCAGUACCUUUUAUAGUCUUUGGAGUUGCAGAGGCAUAAUGAAUACUUUGUUUUAUCAGUCUGUAAGUUACAGUGGACCGUAA